rnacentral:rRNA from 1 species
GUGCCAGCAGCCGCGGUAAAACGUAGGGGGCGAGCGUUGCCCGGAUUCACUGGGCGUAAAGCGCGUGUAGGCGGUUCGUUAAGUCGGAUGUGAAAUCCAGCGGCUCAACCGCUGAAUUGCAUCCGAUACUGGCGAACUUGAGGACGGUAGAGGUCGGUGGAAUUCCCGGUGUACCGGUGAAAUGGGCAGAUAUCGGGAGGAACACCAGUGGCGAAGGCGGCCGACUGGGCCGAUCCUGACGCUGAGACGCGAAAGCCAGGGGAGCGAACCGGAUUAGAAACCCCGGUAGUCC